UACGUAGGGGGCUAGCGUUAUCCGGAAUUACUGGGCGUAAAGGGUGCGUAGGUGGUUUCUUAAGUCAGAGGUGAAAGGCUACGGCUCAACCGUAGUAAGCCUUUGAAACUGGGAAACUUGAGUGCAGGAGAGGAGAGUGGAAUUCCUAGUGUAGCGGUGAAAUGCGUAGAUAUUAGGAGGAACACCAGUGGCGAAGGCGGCCUCCUGGACCAUUCCUGACACUCAGACGCGAAAGCUAGGGUAGCAAACGGGAUUAGAUACCCCCCAUAGUCCCUGAGCGGGCUGG
rnacentral:rRNA from 1 species